rnacentral:rRNA from 1 species
AACGAACGCUGGCGGCGUGCCUAACACAUGCAAGUCGAACGUGAUUGGAGGCUUGCUUCCAUGAAAGUGGCGCACGGGUGAGUAACGCGUAGAUAAUCUACCUGAUGAUCCGGGAUAACACUUCGAAAGGGGUGCUAAUACCAGAUAAGCCCACGGAGUCCUUGGACUCUGCGGGAAAAGGGGGGGAUCGCAAGACCUUCCGUCAUCAGAUGAGUCUGCGUACCAUUAGCUAGUUGGUAGGGUAAAGGCCUACCAAGGCGACGAUGGUUAGCUGGUCUGAGAGGAUGAUCAGCCACACUGGAACUGAGACACGGUCCAGACUCCUACGGGAGGCAGCAGUGGGGAAUUUUGCGCAAUGGGGGAAACCCUGACGCAGCAACGCCGCGUGAGUGAUGAAGGCCCUUGGGUCGUAAAGCUCUGACAGAGGGAAAGAAAUGCAGAGUGGCUAAUAUCCACCUUGCUUGACGGUACCCUCAAAGGAAGCACCGGCUAACUCCGUGCCAGCCGCCGCGGUAAUAC